AUCUUGUUCAUUUAUUUAAUUCUAUAAUAAGUAAUAACACAGAAGAGCAUUCCCGAAUCCCUCUGGUCUAGAUAACUCCCUAGUCCGUCGGUAAUCUUUAUACACGGUAAUAAUUCAUCAUUUCCCAUAAUCUCUGCCUGGUUAAAGACGGCUUCUAGAAUCUCCAUUGAGUGGAGUACAUACUCUUCAAGCCUUAGUGGAAUCAUUUCUGCUUGUAUUUCGAAGACGUUGCUACACGCCAAUCUGAAGGGCAGAGUUCUUGGCUGUACUUUUCACGGAUAAUACAAUCCACUAUUCUAACAACGGGAGCCACUUUUGAGCAAAAAUAAAACAAAUGUAAUGAGGUCUCGAUGUUUUCUAUACAAAAAGAGCACAUUCUAGACUCAACUAUUUGGUUUGACUUUUUUGUAAAUAAGGAAGAGGUGGCCAAUCGGUCCAGUCUCUCCAUUCUUCUCUUGACGAUAAGAGACGACACUCUGUUGUUAUCACAGAUUAUUGCAUACCUUAUUUUACUAUUAGAGAGUGCUUCCACUGCUAUGAAGAAGCGUGUUGAAGGCUCGAGGUUACUGGUUUUGGAAAGGUAGAAUAAGACUAAUCUCUAGGUUCUACUUAAUAGAAUGAAAUUGCCUAGCUCCGUAUCUUCACGAGAUAGGUAUUGACCAACAGACGUUAGUUAGUCCCUCUUCCCUUAAAAACUCGUACCGACUUCUCAACCUUGGAUUAAAGUUAAGAGUUCAACCAUUCUUUGUGCAUAAACACACCAAAAUUAUGAUUUCGUCAGCUCGUCAUCAUGAGUGAGAAAAAAGCCAAAAGGCAGGGCAUCUUUAAAUCCUAGAUAAUAAAGUUGAGGUGGCUAGGAUUAUAGACAUUGUGAAGUACUUCAGCUGCUGGUUUUUCAAGGUGGCCAAGAUGAAGAAGACCUCUGCCACAAAAGAAGGAAUUGGGGGCACAAUUUCAAGAGGGGUGCCGAGUUCCUGUCGAGCUAGGAGAAGAAGAUCAAGGAGGACACCACCAAAACGAAUUCUCUGUGGUUGCUAGGACCAUCAGACCAUCAGAAGGACAACUAAUACAUGAGGAUCCCACGCCACCUUCUGACUGAGGUCAUGAAGUUCUUUCCAUGCACUCCAGGAAUGUCGAUAAUGAAUAAAACUUAUAUUUUUUAAAGCAGCAAACAACCAUUGCACAAAUUAAAUGGGAACAAUUUAAAUUGAUCUACUCUAACUAUAUUUUUAUUCAUACCUUCA
rnacentral:lncRNA from 1 species